GACUGGUGCAGCCGCGGUUACGUUUAGGGGGCGGAGGGCACGCUUCACUGCAGGUGCCGCGCUGCGGGCAUCGCGAAAGCGCCCCCUUUGCCCAGGAUAGAAACGGAUAAACGGAAGCGCGUGUGAAUGUGGGGGUGCGAAUUGCCACCUCCAACCUUGGCUUUCCCGCUCUUCCGAGCGCUCCCACUUCUCACUUUCCCCAAAUCCGCAUUUUCCUUGGCACAGCUCUCCCCGAGCAAGAAGGAGAGGGAGGUACCCGGGGGCAGUGAGAAUGACGUGUGCUGGUGCAGAGAGCGGGUGGGGGGCUGCGGGCCCCGCUCUGUGGACCGGCUCCUAAUCCUCUUGUUUUCGGUACAGUCAGCAGAUGUGGCUUCUUUUAGCUGAAUAAUCCGUUAAAGGAAUAAUAAUUUUUAAAAAGGAGAUCGACCUCACCCAAAGAGGAUGGCGAACGAGAUUAGGGCUUGUAGAUCUACUGCCUUUCGAUAGGUUGGCUGAAACACUUCGGACUGCGACCAGUCUCUUAAAAAGAACAAAAAGAGGAAGACCUUGAGUGGACCCCAGGACAAAGCACUUUGGGCUCGGCAAGAAGGGACGCGCGGGAGCGCUGGCUGGGAACUGGAGUGAUCUCCCGUGCCAAAGAGCGCCCAUGAAGCGUGCGGACCUCUGAGGGUAUUCGGAUUGAAUUUUAUUUACCCUUUUGGCAUGCUUGAACGAUGACAUUGUUGGAGAGGGGUAAGGUUUUGUUUUGUUUCGUUUUUUUCUGGGAAAGAGAACUGAAUGGUGGGAGGUCAGGUAGACUUAAGUUGGCUUUCCUGCUCCCCUGCCUCCCCUCCUCGAGAUCCAGGUGUUGGAGAAGAGACUAGGAAGUAGAAGGCUUAGAAAAAAAGUAGACACCGGAGAUGUUGUCCGGGGGCUAACGGGAGAGUGGAGUGAGGUGUAGGGAUCCAGCUGCAUUAGACACGAGUGACCUUUUAAAUCUACGCCCACCCUUUACCUGCAAGAGGACUGCAGCAGGCGAGUUUCGGAAGGCUGAUCCCGGCCCGGAGCGCGCAGUUCGCCCCUGCGGCACGCCCGGCCAGGCUGCGCCCGCACUCAGCCAGCGAGGAAAAAGCCUGGAUCCGAAAGGAUGGGGGAGAACAAAGAGCCUUUGGAAGACGUCGCUGUUAUCUCAUUGUCUGUGUGAUUGGGGGAGCUGCGGUAGGGAGGAUGCUGUGGUCCUGUUCUCCCUGCCUCCCCACCCCCAACCCUCUCCCCGCUGUCAGUGCGCGCGCACGCGCCCUUCUUUUUACUUAUUUUUCCUUGUUUUUUUCAUCCCAUCUUCUCCCCACCCCCUUUCCUUUCUUCCACCUGUCCUUCCUUCCUCCUUUACUUCCUCAGGAGAAAGGCCUCUCUCUCCGUGUUCACAGCGGACCUUGAUUUAAAUGUCCAUACAAUUAAGGCACGCGGUGAAUGCCAAGAAUGGGGCUGGCUGAGCACCGUCGGUCCGCGAGGGCCCGCCGGGAAGGAGCCACAGAGCCGAGGCGCCCUCCGCAGAGCUCAGCGCCGCGGCUUCGGGCGGGAGGGGUCUCGGGCUCCCGCUGGCUGGGCUAACCCUGAACCGGAGCCCUUGGGGCGGGGAGGUGUGCAGCUUGUGACAGACAUGGGCUUAGAGAGUCAGACAGACUCAGGGAGAGAAGCUGAUUCUGUGACAGAAACAGAUCUGUGCAAGCACAGAUGCGAUGGGGGCGGAGGGGGGGGUGCCUGUGAGCGCAUUACGGAGUGCUUCUGUGUGCAUAUUUUUCUCUGGGCUCGGGGCGCAUUGUAUGUGGGUCGACACCUUCCGUGGCUGUGUUUUUGUUCUGGGCUUAGCUUUUGGUUCGCCCUUUAAAAAAAAUAAUCUGGCAUCCAGAAGACUGGCAGUCUGUGCCAGGGCUUGGACCACAGAUAUAUUGUGUUCUCCUUGAGGCUGGGGGUGUGGGGGGGGGGGCGGAGUGGGUAGCCAGUUGGAAGGGAGGAGGGAGGUGUUUGUCAUUCUUUGCUGUCGAGCUGUGGGCACCUGACAAGCUUAAGGAAGUCAUUGGGAUAUAGAAGGAAGAAGGAACAAACUCUUGGAGGGUCAAUCAGGGCUCAAUCAGGGCUGAAAGCGUGGCCAGGGCUCUUAGGAGCAUCUCACUUCCUCCUUGCGGCUGUAAUUGUAGUUUCAGGCAGAGAUCCAGGAGAUGCAGAGGAAGGGAGAGGCGCAGUAACCUACAUGUACCAAAGGGGGAGGGGAUGAAUUCCUUCUUAAAUCUGAACUGAAGGAAAAACAGAAUGUGCACAAGUGUUGAUUCUGAGGAAAGCCUCUUUUGAAAGGGGCUGUCAGGGAAUGGAAAGCGCUAACCCUCCCUCAUUCUGAAGAACCUGCUUCCCAAAUCAGGCCUUCCUCCCCAGCACUCGAUACAGACCAGCAGCUGAUCCUAGAGAGCCCCCGUAGCUGCAGUGGAUGGUGGCAAGACCUAAACUCAUAAAUUUCCAGGUGGAGGAAAUGGGAGAGGGACAGGUCCCUGCAGAGAAAGGAGGCCAAGAGCUGGAUCAUCCUACCAGGAAACCGGCUGCAUCCCUUUUCCCACCCUUGGCAGAGGCCUGUCUUUGCAAGACCAAGGCCAUAAGGGAUGCACAGGAUUUUAGUCUUGAUUCUUCACGCGUUAACCAAGGCCUAAAGGAGUUUUGGGGUGAAGCUUACUGAGGCAUUCUUUCCUCUGCAAAGCCUCAGUCUAGCCCACUUAGCAAAUUAGCAUUUAAAGAUACCAUGGAUCCCAAGCCUCAUUUCCUCCCAAAUAUUUAUUAAGUACCUAUUAUGUGCCAAUCACCAUGUAAUGAUUAUAUCUUAGGUUCUUCCUCUGCCCUCCUAAAGGAGUAUCUGGAGUCAGGAGAGGUUAAACGUGCUGUAUCCCAUCUAGAUACUCCCAGAACCUUCUCUGCCACCACCUGCUUACCCCUUCUCUCUAGAAGGCUGCAGUUUCCAUCAUGCAAACUGCAGGCAUGGUGCUAUCCCUCAACUCCCAGAAGGCAAGUUUGGCUAAAGGACAGAAGAGAGUGCAGUUUCUCUGCCCCCUGAACCUUAGCCAGGGUUGUCCUAAGAGGCACAGGCAGCCACUACCUUCAAAACAGAUCAUCCUCCAAAUGGUGCCUCCUUGGGGUAUAAAUCCCCUUACCUCCCUCCUCCCCUAAGAAGGCUGCUUUUGUGGUUUUGGGGCACAAUUUAAGCCUCCGAUGACCAACCCUUUGCCCUACGGUUGCCCACGAUAGUGAGAUUCAUCUCUGAUUGUUUUCCCAUAACUCCAUCAGACAGGGCUGUACCCUUCACUGAUGUGCCUGCCCCUCAGCACAAUCUCCAGAUGCCUCCCCCAAGUAAUGGCCCUUUUAGGUGGAAACCUAACACGCUUCUCCCUGAGAGCUUCAACCACAGGCACCAUGGACAAGGCCUGCCAGGUUCCUGCUGCUGAUAAACUAUGGAAGGGAGGGGCAUAUUUUUUAUUACUUAUGUAAACUCUUGUUCCAGAAAGCUUUAAUGGGUGUGGGAGUGUUCUAGGUUUGCCGGGUCUGUGUGCAUGGGUGUGGGGUUUUCCUGUGUUCACCAGGUCUCAUUAUGAAAUGUAUUUUUAUGUGGGUCUUUAAUGGCUGCAAAUGGCAGAGAUGAAUGUACACUCUGCUCCUGGUGUAAUUUCAAGGCCCCCUUUGUGUUCACCAAACAGAGGUAUCUGAGUGAAGGUCAGUCCUAGCUUCUUCCCUUCUGCUAUAUUCUGGGCCUAUUUAUGCCUAGUGAUAUUUAUGUAAGAAAACUGAAGACUGAUGCUCUUCCAAGGCAUUUCUCAGAUCCCCUCCCUGUCCAUUUGAGCCCCUCUAAUUAUAUCCUGUGACUUAAACGAGGGGAAAAAUACAUGAUUUUUAAAACACAGGACACGUUGAGGCAGUGUGCUGACUGAAUAAUGUAAGAAGGCCCCCAUGAGUCCACACACAUCACCAUCAUUAUGGUCCUCGUGACCAUGGGAGCUCAUAUGUUGCCCAAGGUGACUGUAUGAGAUACAUUAAGAUGGAUUUAGAAAUGUAUCAAAGGAAAAAUUGGUAAUAUUCUUGUCUCCCCUGCCAGCGAUGGCCCAGGCGAGAUCUCUGUUUAAGCAGAAAAGAAACUGAUCUUUUAACAAAAGCUAAGGUAAACUCCUCUGUCAUUUCUAUCACCAAAGGGGUGGGGAGCAGAGACAAUUUUUGUGACUGCAUGAGGAGCCUUAGCCAGAGAAAUAAAUAAUUCCUCUCAGAGAGCGGAAGGGUGCUCUCUGAGCAGGCAUAUGCCCGUGUAUGUACAUAUAUACAUACAUUUUCUCUCCUAACCACAUCCAUCGCUAACAUUUAUAGGAAAGCAUUUAAACACACACACACACACACACACACACACACACACACA